GCUGCUGUAGCUCAAAUGGGAGAGCUUCCUCUCCUUAUUCAUCAUGGAGGAGGAGUCUGAGGAUGAUGUGGGUUCGAUUCCUGCCAGCAGCA